AGUUUUAUAUUCAUAUAAUGAUUUAAAAUUGCAAAUUUUAAGGUGUAAAAUAGAAAUUACUAAGGCUU
rnacentral:tRNA from 1 species